UCAGUUGGUCAAGCACUGGACUUCAAACUUGCAGACCACAAGUUUGAGUCCCACAAG
rnacentral:tRNA from 13 species